rnacentral:rRNA from 1 species
ACAUCGCUUCUUGUUAAACCGAAAGUAUAAGAGGUCCCGCCGGCCCUGUGACUAUAUGUUUAACGGCCGCGGUAUUUUGACCGUGCGAAGGUAGCGCAAUCACUUGUCUUUUAAAUAGGGACCUGUAUGAAUGGCAUAACGAGGGCUCGACUGUCUCCUUUUUCAAGUCAAUGAAAUUGAUCUCCCCGUGCAGAAGCGGGGAUAAAUACAUAAGACGAGAAGACCCUAUGGAGCUUCAGACACUAAAGCAGUCCAGUAUUAAUACCCUGAACAUAGGACUCGAACAAACUGACCCCUGCCCUAAUGUCUUUGGUUGGGGCGACCGCGGAGAAACAUAAAACCCCCGCAAGGACUAAAUGUACUACAUUUACAGCUAAGAGCGACAGCUCUAAUUAACAGAAUUUCUGACCAAUAAGAUCCGGCAACGCCGAUCAAUGAACCGAGUUACCCUAGGGAUAACAGCGCAAUCUCCUCCUAGAGUCCAUAUCGACGAGGAGGUUUACGACCUCGAUGUUGGAUCAGGACAUCCUAAUGGUGCAGCCGCUAUUAAGGGUUCGUUUGUUCAACGAUUAAAGUCCUACGUGAUCUGAGUUCA